CUUCGGAGUCCUGAGUAAACUGGCGAACGGGUGAGUAACACGUAGGUAACCUGCCUGCAGGUCUGGGAUAACCUUGCUAACGCGGGGCUAAUACCGGAUAAUGUUCUUAUGUCGCAUGGCAUGAAAACCAAAGCUGCCUUCGGGUAGCACCUGUGGACGGACCUGCGCCCCAUUAGUUAGUUGGUAGGGUAACGGCCUACCAAGACGACGAUAGGUAGCCGGCCUGAGAGGGUGACCGGCCACACUGGGACUGAGAUACGGCCCAGACUCAUACGGGAGGCAGCAGUGAGGAAUAUUGCGCAAUGGGCGAAAGCCUGACGCAGCAACGCCGCGUGGAUGAUGAAGCUCUAAGGAGUGUAAAGUCCUGUUAGGAGGAAAGAAUAAUAUUUAUUCGACAAGGAUAAAUAUUUGACGGUACUUCCAGAGAAAGCCCCGGCUAACUCCGUGCCAGCAGCCGCGGUAAUACGGGGGGGGCGAGCGUUGUCCGGAAUUAUUGGGCGUAAAGGGCGCGUAGGCGGAAUGAUAAGUUGGGGGUGAAGACCAUAGGCUUAACUUAUGGCCCGCCUCUAAAACUGUCAUUCUUGAGUACGGUAGAGGGAAGCGGAAUUCCUGGUGUAGCGGUGAAAUGCGUAGAUAUCAGGAAGAACACCGGUAGCGAAGGCGGCUUCCUGGACCGUAACUGACGCUGAGGCGCGAAAGCGUGGGGAGCAAACAGGAUUAGAUACCCUGGUAGUCCACGCUGUAAACGAUGGGCACUAGUGUUGGGUUCGCGAAAAGCGGAUCAGUGCGCAGCUACGCAUUAGUGCCUCGCCUGGGGGAGUACGAUCGCA
rnacentral:rRNA from 1 species